rnacentral:rRNA from 1 species
UACAGAGGGUGCAAGCGUUGUUCGGAAUUAUUGGGCGUAAAGCGCGUGUAGGCGGCUUUGCAAGUCGGGUGUGAAAGCCCUCAGCUCAACUGAGGAAGUGCGCCCGAAACUGCAGAGCUUGAGUACCGGAGAGGGUGGCGGAAUUUCCCAAGUAGAGGUGAAAUUCGUAGAUAUGGGGAGGAACACCGGUGGCGAAGGCGGCCACCUGGACGGUUACUGACGCUGAGACGCGAAAGCGUGGGGAGCGAACAGG